rnacentral:lncRNA from 1 species
UUCCCUCCUUCACUUCCCUCCAUUUCAAUCCUAUUUAAACUCCAUAAUUUUCACUCACCAUCAACAAUCAUCACCAUAAACUCACUCUGCAAAAUUUCAUCCUCACCAUCACUCAUAACCUCUGAAGCACCGAUACAGAUAUUGUGAAGAAGUACCAGUACUCAGUACUUGAUCGAUACUGCUACACGUAUUGUACGUACCGUAA